GAUGAAGAACGUAGCGAAAUGCGAUAAGUAAUGUGAAUUGCAGAAUUCAGUGAAUCAUCGAAUCCUUGAACGCACAUUGCGCCCCUUGGUAUUCCGAGGGGCAUGCCUGUUCGAGCGUCAUUAUAACCCCUCAAGCUCAGCUUGGUGUUGGGGCCUGCUGCACUGGCAGCCCUUAAAAUCAGUGGCGGCGCCAUCUGGCUCUAAGCGUAGUAAUUCUUCUCGCUAUGGAGUCCUGGUGGAUGCUUGCCAUCAACCCCCAAUUUUUCUAUGGUUGACCUCGGAUCAGGUAGGGAUACCCGCUGAACUUAAGCAUAUCAAUAAGCGGAGGA
rnacentral:misc_RNA from 1 species